AGAGUUUGAUCCUGGCUCAGGACGAACGCUGGCGGCGUGCUUAACACAUGCAAGUCGAACGGAAAGGCCCUUCGGGGUACUCGAGUGGCGAACGGGUGAGUAACACGUGGGUGAUCUGCCCUGCACUCUGGGAUAAGCCUGGGAAACUGGGUCUAAUACCGGAUAGGACCGCAUGCUUCAUGGUGUGUGGUGCAAAGCUUUUGCGGUGUGGGAUGAGCCCGCGGCCUAUCAGCUUGUUGGUGGGGUAAUGGCCUACCAAGGCGACGACGGGUAGCCGGCCUGAGAGGGUGACCGGCCACACUGGGACUGAGAUACGGCCCAGACUCCUACGGGAGGCAGCAGUGGGGAAUAUUGCACAAUGGGCGCAAGCCUGAUGCAGCGACGCCGCGUGAGGGAUGACGGCCUUCGGGUUGUAAACCUCUUUCAGUAGGGACGAAGCGAAAGUGACGGUACCUACAGAAGAAGGACCGGCCAACUACGUGCCAGCAGCCGCGGUAAUACGUAGGGUCCGAGCGUUGUCCGGAAUUACUGGGCGUAAAGAGCUCGUAGGUGGUUUGUCGCGUUGUUCGUGAAAACUCACAGCUUAACUGUGGGCGUGCGGGCGAUGCGGGCAGACUAGAGUACUGCAGGGGAGACUGGAAUUCCUGGUGUAGCGGUGGAAUGCGCAGAUAUCAGGAGGAACACCGGUGGCGAAGGCGGGUCUCUGGGCAGUAACUGACGCUGAGGAGCGAAAGCGUGGGUAGCGAACAGGAUUAGAUACCCUGGUAGUCCAA
rnacentral:rRNA from 1 species